rnacentral:rRNA from 1 species
GUGGGGAAUUUUGGACAAUGGGCGCAAGCCUGAUCCAGCAAUGCCGCGUGCAGGAAGAAGGCCUUCGGGUUGUAAACUGCUUUUGUACGGAACGAAACGGCUCUGGUUAAUACCCGGGGCUAAUGACGGUACCGUAAGAAUAAGCACCGGCUAACUACGUGCCAGCAGCCGCGGUAAUACGUAGGGUGCAAGCGUUAAUCUGAAUUACUGGGCGUACAGCGUGCGCAGGCGGUUUUGUAAGACAGGCGUGAAAUCCCCGGGCUCAACCUGGGAAUGGCGCUUGUGACUGCAAAGCUGGAGUGCGGCAGAGGGGGAUGGAAUUCCGCGUGUAGCAGUGAAAUGCGUAGAUAUGCGGAGGAACACCGAUGGCGAAGGCAAUCCCCUGGGCCUGCACUGACGCUCAUGCACGAAAGCGUGGGGAGCAAACAGGAUUAGAAACCCUAGUAGUCC